rnacentral:rRNA from 1 species
AACGCGAAGAACCUUACCUGGGUUUGACAUCCUCGGACAACCGUAGAGAUACGGCUUUUGUAGAAAUACAACCGAGAGACAGGUGCUGCAUGGCUGUCGUCAGCUCGUGUGGUGACAUGUUGGGUUAAGUCCCGCAACGAGCGCAACCCUUGUCUUUAGUUGCCAGCAUUCAGUUGGGCACUCUAAAGAGACUGCCGUGGUUAACACGGAGGAAGGUGGGGAUGACGUCAAGUCCUCAUGGCCUUUAUAUCCAGGGCGACACACGUGAUACAAUGGACGGUACAAAGGGAUGCCAAGGAGCAAUCCGGAGCAAAUCCCAAAAAUCCGUUCUCAGUUCGGAUUGGAGUCUGCAACUCGACUCCAUGAAGUUGGAAUCGCUAGUAAUCGCGGAUCAGCACGCCGCGGUGAAUACGUUCCCGGGCCUUGUACACACCGCGUGUCU